UGGAUAGCUCAGUGGCCGAGAGCACCCGACGCAAUCGGGGGACGCGGGUUCAAAUCCCGCUCCA
rnacentral:tRNA from 1 species